GAUGAACGCUGGCGGCGUGCCUAAUACAUGCAAGUCGAACGGAGUGCCGGCAAGGUACUUAGUGGCGACCGGGUGCGUAACACGUAGCUGACCCUGCCCCUNAGCGGGGACAACAGGCCGAAAGGCCUGCUAAUACCGCAUGACCAUGGGAUGACUAGCAAGGUCCUAUGUAAACUUACGGGGCUGAGGGAGGGACGCUGCGGCCCAUCAGGUAGUUGGUGAGUAACGGCUCACCAAGCCG
rnacentral:rRNA from 1 species